AUUGAACGCUGGCGGCAGGCCUAACACAUGCAAGUCGAACGAGUGGCGGACGGGUGAGUAAUGUCUGGGAAACUGCCCGAUGGAGGGGGAUAACUACUGGAACCGGUAGCUAAUACCGCAUACCAUCGGAUGUGCCCAGAUGGGAUGAGCGAGUAGGUGGGGUAACGGCUCACCUAGGCGACGAUCCCUAGCUGGUCUGCGAGGCUGACCAGCCACACUGGAACUGAGACACGGUCCAGACUCCGACGGGAGGCAGCAGUGGGGAAUAUUGCACAAUGGGCGAAAGCCUGAUGCAGCCAUGCCGCGUGUAUGAAGAAGGCCUUCGGGUUGUAAAGUACUGUCAUCGGGGAGGCGUUACCCGCCGAAGAAGCACCGGCUAACUCCGUGCCAGCAGCCGCGGUAAUUC
rnacentral:rRNA from 1 species